UACGUAGGUGGCAAGCGUUAUCCGGAAUUACUGGGUGUAAAGGGCGUGUAGGCGGGGAGACAAGUCAGAUGUGAAAUUCCGGGGCUCAACCCCGGCGCUGCAUCUGAAACUGUUUCUCUUGAGUACUGGAGAGGAAAGUGGAAUUCCUAGUGUAGCGGUGAAAUGCGUAGAGAUUAGGAGGAACACCAGUGGCGAAGGCGGCUUUCUGGACAGUAACUGACGCUGAGGCGCGAAAGUGUGGGGAG
rnacentral:rRNA from 1 species